UCCUGUUCUAUCAUAUCUGCAGGUAUAUGUGAACUUCACACAUGCAGUUAAUUUAAUUGUUUGCUUUGCUUCUGAAGUUUCAUUGAGACUAACACAUUGUUUAGAUAUUGGUAUGAACUCUACUUCUCCAAGUUUGUCAAAGCUGCACAUUUACUGUGGAAUAGGCAUGCAUCAGGCACAGAGGCUGCUUCUCUGUAUUAAUUUUGUUUGAAUUAUGAUACUAAACCAUUUAUUUUUUCUGUUCUUUGUUUUGAUAUUCAAAUGCUAUAUUUAUUCUCAAUCAUUCCUUUGCAAUAUUUGAGUCCUUCCUUACCACUUACCAAGUUAAAAAGUCAAACUGCUGAAGCAUUGUACAUAUCGAAAGAUGGUAUUCAGUAAGCAUUGUACAUACGAAGACAAAAUGUUUAAUCAUUUCAGCUGUCAUUUUAUCUAUGUUUGGCUUAUUUUGUUAAAUUUGUGGCUUGGAGGAUUUGGCUUAGGAUCACCUCCUAAAUCAGAAUUUGGAUCACUUUCUAGGCCUUACAUAUCAAAAUUUUUUGCCCACAAAAGAAAACAGAACUAGAAUUCCUUAAAGCAAACUUCUUCAAUGUUCAAUCUUUGUCAACAUCAAUAAUCACUGUGCUUGACUUGGCUUUACAGUGGCAAGAAAAUACUUAGUACUGAAUGUUACAAUCCAUCUGGCAGGUGC
rnacentral:misc_RNA from 1 species